GAUGAACGCUGGCGGCGUGCCUAAUACAUGCAAGUCGAGCGAACGGACGAGAAGCUUGCUUCUCUGACGUUAGCGGCGGACGGGUGAGUAACACGUGGAUAACCUACCUAUAAGACUGGGAUAACUUCGGGAAACCGGAGCUAAUACCGGAUAAUAUUUUGAACCGCAUGGUUCAAAAGUGAAAGACGGUCUUGCUGUCACUUAUAGAUGGAUCCGCGCUGCAUUAGCUAGUUGGUAAGGUAACGGCUUACCAAGGCAACGAUGCAUAGCCGACCUGAGAGGGUGAUCGGCCACACUGGAACUGAGACACGGUCCAGGCUCCUACGGGAGGCAGCAGUAGGGAAUCGUCCGCAAUGGGCGAAAGCCUGACGGAGCAACGCCGCGUGAGUGAUGAAGGUCUUCGGAUCGUAAAACUCUGUUAUUAGGGAAGAACAUAUGUGUAAGUAACUGUGCACAUCUUGACGGUACCUAAUCAGAAAGCCACGGCUAACUACGUG
rnacentral:rRNA from 1 species